AGUAAAUAAAAAUUAUGAAAGCAAAAAAUUAUGGCGGUAUUUUAAGCUUUUCAGAGGAAUUUGCUCUUUAAUGGAUAAAACACCUAAAUCUUACUUGAAUUUGUUAAAUCAAUUUGUAUACCACUAUAAAAACAAUUAAUAACUUUAAUUGUUAAAAUUUAUUGAAUUAAAUUAUGUUAAGUCAAGGUGCAGUAAAAAUUUAAGAAUGAAGUGAAUUACAUUUCUUUUCAGAAAUAAAAAAUUAAAUUUACAUAUAGGAUUUGAAAGUAAAAUUAAAAUAGAAUGUUAAUUUGAAUAAAGCUCUAAAAUAUGUACAUA
rnacentral:rRNA from 1 species